rnacentral:rRNA from 1 species
AUUGAACGCUGGCGGCAUGCCUUACACAUGCAAGUCGAACGGUAACAGGUUAAGCUGACGAGUGGCGAACGGGUGAGUAAUGUAUCGGAACGUGCCCAGUCGUGGGGGAUAACUGCUCGAAAGAGCAGCUAAUACCGCAUACGACCUGAGGGUGAAAGCGGGGGAUCGCAAGACCUCGCGCGAUUGGAGCGGCCGAUAUCAGAUUAGGUAGUUGGUGGGGUAAAGGCCUACCAAGCCGACGAUCUGUAGCUGGUCUGAGAGGACGACCAGCCACACUGGGACUGAGACACGGCCCAGACUCCUACGGGAGGCAGCAGUGGGGAAUUUUGGACAAUGGACGCAAGUCUGAUCCAGCCAUGCCGCGUGCGGGAAGAAGGCCUUCGGGUUGUAAACCGCUUUUGUCAGGAAAGAAACGCUCUGGGUUAAUACCUCGGGGUAAUGACGGUACCUGAAGAAUAAGCACCGGCUAACUACGUGCCAGCCGCCGCCGUAACAC